CGAGCGUUGUUCGGAAUCACUGGGCGUAAAGGGCGCGUAGGCGGCCCGCCAAGUCGCGUGUGAAAGCCCCGGGCUCAACCUGGGGACGGCGCGCGAGACUGACGGGCUGGAGUUCGGGAGAGGAGAGUGGAAUUCCCAGUGUAGAGGUGAAAUUCGUAGAUAUUGGGAAGAACACCGGUGGCGAAGGCGGCUCUCUGGACCGAGACUGACGCUGAGGCGCGAAAGCGUGGGGAGCAAACAGG
rnacentral:rRNA from 1 species